AUGCCCACCCUCUCCAGUUAUUUAUGGGCAUUCCUCACAUUAGAAUGCUAAUUGUUUCACUUCUGCUGCUCACUCAUCUACUGGUAGCAGCUGUAUUGGGACAGGAGGACCCGAGAGGCCAUAGCCCUCUAGAGAACCUGGUAUUUGAAGUUUCUUUGUCUCUCUUCAUGUGCAUACCCCUGAAGACAUUUCAAGGGUGCUUUCAUAAGCAUAGCUUUUAAUGGCUAACAAAUAACAUGUGUGGAAUGCCAUAUUUAAGACAUUUAUAAUUCCAGCUUAAGCGAAUAUUGCUACAGCGCACAGGUAUUUGAAGUUGCAAGGAAUAUCUGAUGGUUUGUUUUCCAAGGACAGGUGAAAAAUUGUCCAAGGAAGAAUUUAUCAAUAUGGGAAACUCUCCCAAGAUAAAGGACCCUGAGAGUUGAUGCCAUCAUACAGUUGGAAGUUGCUGUUAAAAGCUUGAGGAAAAUGAUGGUUCACAUUAAGUGAAGUGGAAUGCCAAAUGCUGUGUGACAGACAACGAAGAAGGGAUCAAAGGCUGAUGAAGUAGAUGUACUACAUAAGGCUAGAAAGCCCACCUGAUGACUACAUUCUAAAGGAAGUCCCAGACUUAAAAAAUAAAUAAAUAAAGUUGCUUGGCUG